UACGUAGGGGGCGAGCGUUGUCCGGAUUUAUUGGGCGUAAAGAGCGUGUAGGCGGCCAGGUAGGUCUGCUGUGAAAACUCGAGGCUCAACCUCGAGACGUCGGCGGAAACCAUCUGGCUAGAGUCCGGAAGAGGAGAGUGGAAUUCCAGGUGUAGCGGUGAAAUGCGUAGAUAUCUGGAGGGACACCGGUGGCGAAGGCGGCAUUCUGGACCGAAACUGACGCUGAGGCGCGAAAGCCAGGGGAGCAAACGGG
rnacentral:rRNA from 1 species